UUGACCUGCGGAGGGAUCAUUACCGAGUUUACAACUCCCAAACCCCUGUGAACAUACCAAUUGUUGCCUCGGCGGAUCAGCCCGCUCCCGGUAAAACGGGACGGCCCGCCAGAGGACCCCUAAACUCUGUUUCUAUAUGUAACUUCUGAGUAAAACCAUAAAUAAAUCAAAACUUUCAACAACGGAUCUCUUGGUUCUGGCAUCGAUGAAGAACGCAGCAAAAUGCGAUAAGUAAUGUGAAUUGCAGAAUUCAGUGAAUCAUCGAAUCUUUGAACGCACAUUGCGCCCGCCAGUAUUCUGGCGGGCAUGCCUGUUCGAGCGUCAUUUCAACCCUCAAGCCCAGCUUGGUGUUGGGACUCGCGAGUCAAAUCGCGUUCCCCAAAUUGAUUGGCGGUCACGUCGAGCUUCCAUAGCGUAGUAGUAAAACCCUCGUUACUGGUAAUCGUCGCGGCCACGCCGUUAAACCCCAACUUCUGAAUGUUGACCUCGGAUCAGGUAGGAAUACCCGCUGAACUUAAGCAUAUCAAAA
rnacentral:rRNA from 1 species